rnacentral:rRNA from 1 species
AACGUAGGAGACAAACGUUAUCCGGAGUUACUGGGCGUAAAGGGCGUGUAGGUGGUUUCGUAAGUCUGGCGUGAAAUUUUUCGGCUUAACCGGGAAAGGUCGUCGGAUACUGCGGAGCUAGAGGACGGUAGAGGCGUGUGGAAUUCCGGGUGUAGUGGUGGAAUGCGUAGAGAUCCGGAGGAACACCAGUGGCGAAGGCGACACGCUGGGCCGUACCUGACACUGAUGCGCGACAGCAUGGGGAGCAAACAGG